GUCGUUUUGGCAGCACAAAUACUAAAAUCAGAACGAUACAGAGAAGAUUAGCAUGGCUCCUGUGCAAGGAUGACACCCAAAUUCAGGAAACAUUUCAUAUUUAU